AUUUAGAACCAAUGGGAGACUGUCAAUGGUUGAAACCCAGUAAGAAAGAUCUAUUUUAUAGUGUCUGGACUGCAAGAAACAUCAAGGACUUCCCAGACUCAACCACUAUGACUUCAGUACUUUGAGCUCUGUGCUGCUGAAUUAAGUAACCUCUGAUAUUGGAGACUUUCCCAAGUCAUUCAAGGUGACUGAAAUUUCCAGACUGGAAAACGUAACUGCAGCAAAGGGCAGACCCUGCUGUAAAGGAUCGCUGUGAAAGCAGAAAAAGAGGGGGCUACACGAGCCUGUCAGUGAUUAAAAAACCUUCAGGAGGACAGGAGCACGUUGAUGAGAAGUCAUGUUCUGGGGAUUAAGGAUGGCGACUCAGAGGAAAGAACUACUUUAAAGAGACGGUUGUCGAACUCUUGGAAUUAAACUUAAAAUACAUGUUGAUGCAAAAUGAAAAGGUCUUGCGGAGUAUCCUUCCCAAGUUGCAGGAACCAGCGUGGAUGUCAAGGGACACGACAGUUCCCCUGCUGUACCAUGGGCGACCUAGUUGUGAUGUGGACAUGAACCUCCGCCAUGUAGCAGACACCCUCCCUCAGGUCUUGCGGAGUAUCCUUCCCAAGUUGCGUGGAUGUGAAGGGACAUGACACUUCCCCUGCUGUACCAUGGGCGACCUACUUGUGAUGUGGACCUGAACCUCCGCCAUGUAGCAGACACCCC